AAACAACUUUAAACUCGGUUUAGCAGUAGAAAUAUCAUAGAAGUAGUACAAAUGCGUAACCUACUGCAGUAGUUGGAACAAUAGGCUAAUAACAGAAUUGCAGUGACAGUAGCCUAUAUAGUUUAAUUUUGAAUAUAUAGUAGUUUGAUAUUAAAUUCAAAUUUAGUCUCUGUAACUGAUAGCUCAAAUUAGCACUUUUAAUUAAAACUAAUGUUCCAAAUUCUUGCCAACAAAGUACAUCCUACCUCCAGACAGUGGCAGGUUAUUAUACAACACGUGUAUGGAAUAAAUAAAUAGUGUUGUGUGAAACAGAACCUGAAAAUCGUAGGAAGUUACAUCAUCCCUUAAUAAACUGAAAAUGCGCAUCACGUCUUUCACGUUUUUUUUCUUACGUUAGCGCGAGAACUUUCUACUUCAAACUAACCUUCUGAAGAAAAGCUUUCUAUCAUGGAAAACACAGAGGAGAGCACAGAACACGCUACCUCAACUGCCUACACUGAUCUGGAAAACAUACUGAAAGGGCUGGACUCCUUGUCUGACUGCAUGGAUCAACUGGCAUUGCGAACCCAGCUGAGGCAAUGUGAUCUGAUCGUUUGUGUUGGCCACCCUGACAAGCUGGCGUUUCUGAAAGUCCAAGAGGCACUGAAGCAGCAGCCCCCUGCUUUGCCUGAAAGUGAGGCGUGAAGAACAGAGGAUAAAUACUGACCCUCUCCCACGUGCAACAGCAUCAUAUGGGACCAAUAUGGAACCAGUAAUGUACUCAGUGGAGAGCAGAGAAAAGGGGCAGAUCGGUGAGGGCUUCCAGUGGAGUGAAACCUUUAUUAACACACAGCAGGACAGCAUGGGAAAUACAGGACACCCCCAGAAGCAAACAGACAAAUGGGAAGGAUGGGAGGGAACGUUUUGGUCUGUGAGAGUAGUGUUACUCUGUAGUUUCUCGGCUUUUCUGUCCUUCCUUACUCUACCAGAAACCCAUUUUGUCCUUAAAAGUACAUUUACCCAUAUGCUGUUCAUUUAUGUGGCGUUGUGUGUUGUUUUGAGUGUUUAAGUGUUCCUUUUAUCAGUGCCCAUGAGCUAAUAUGUCAAAUUUUGAACAACAAGCAGUGCAUUAUACAGCAGUGACACCAGUUGAUCUGCUGUAUAAUGUAAUGGUAAUCCAUGCUGUAAUUUCUCACUUAUCUUGUCAUUUACUGCUUCUGUUGUAACUGGUCUGUAAAUAUAGUGAAACAGCCUUGUAACCAGCCCCCUUUCUGUUAGACUCCCACCCCCUCUCCCCCAGGCAUGGACCCCCUCAUAAAGGUAAUAUCCAUGCCAUCACUCAUUUAGCUGAGGCAACUGGCAGAUUUAUGACACUUCCAGCUGAGAGGAAGAUUUUUGGAGAUACAGGGGGUAGAGGGAAGGAGGAGGCAAAUGAAUGGCUCUUAAGACACAGAUAGGCCUGUGGGCGGAGACGAGGCUCCUGUUGGACGUAAUUACUUGCAAAUUAUAAGAUUAGAAAAUUAACUCUCAUUCGGGGGGAAUGUGAAUCACGUUUAUUUAUAAAUGUCUCCUCACUGGAUUUACAAUGUAAUAUCUGGACCCCAAUGUGACCCACUUUGUUCAAAAUGUCUGUUAAAGUCUGUCGCGUUUCCCCUCACACGCUUUGAUGUAUUGUGAUACAUUUGCAUUGCCUGCGGGACGUGACAAAGACUAUAGGCAGUGGUGUCCCGGAUUAUCAGGUCAAAUACCUAACUUCUAGCGGUGGAAAUACUUCCCUAAUUUGUUUUUCAAAGCCUCGCUGCUCUUUGACUGAAAUCAAUACACGUUGACAUCAAAGUGAUAGUGGAUCAACGCUGGAUCAUCACCUUGGUUAGGUGGGAAAUGCACC